UCCUACUGCUGGAGAUGAAGAAGAAUCUGAGAAGUCAGUAUCUGAGGUGAAUGAUGAGGAUGAUGAUGAGGAGGGCAGUGGCGAGGUUUCUUUUUAUUCUUUUUUGCGUCAUUGCCUUGUGGUUUGUGGUAAUUAUUUGCAUGAUAUUUACUUGGUAUUGUUUAUUUCAUGCAGGAGGAGGAUGAUGAUUAGAGAGUGGACUGAUAACAAUUUAUGUAGGUUUUGAUGAUUUGGAUCAUCUUUUGUAGGUGGUCUGGUCAUUUCCUGAUGAUAAACAAACAUGUUUCUUUCUUCCAGAAAAAUAUUUCUCUGCUCCCUCCGUAAAAUUGUUUUGUCUGUCCAAAACGUGAAUAGUUGAAAGAUGGGAGAUCUUUAUUUGUACUUCUAAAUCCAACUGCUUAGUUAAGGGGUGCUUAUCUUUUGUAGAGCUUUUAGUUUGAUUUAGUUCUCUUGUUGAAAUCUGGUUAAGUUUGUAUGAAUAUAAUUGGCUUAUCUUCCCAUUUCUGCUGUAUAUAUACAUAUGCUAUGAUGCGUCACACUUCAUUCAUGUUGCUGUGCUGUAUGUUUUGUUUUUUUUUUUUGUGAUUUUAAUGUUUUGGGUGUUGUGUUCUGCACCUGAUGUAUGUGUUUUUUCAAUUUAAUGUUGCAUUGUAUCAACAUUCAUACGUGUUUUUCUAUUUGAAGUUGAAUUAUCUCAACAUUUAUUUUGAACUAAUGUUUGGCGAUAUUAAAACGUAGUUUUAAAACGAUAAAAGUUGCUGCUUUAAAAUGUAAUUGAUUAGUGUUGCUUUAAAACGAUAAAAGUUGCUGCUUUAAAAUGUAAUUGAUUAGUGUUGCUUUAAAACGUAAUUUUAAUAAAACUUUAUCGAAAUUUUAUAAUGGUGAGGUAUAUCCUUCAUCGUGUAAUCAGUUUACAUGUGUAUUUUUGUUGUUGUUGGAUCAUUUGACGAAUUUUGACUGAUGAUGAUGGUUGAUUGUAUAGUGUUUGUUGGUACUUUUCCAGUCAUGUAAUGCAUAAAAGCAUGAUCUCACAGAUUAACUGUUUCUAUUUUAUAUACAAAAGUUGUUUGUAGUUUUUCUUUCUUGUAAAAGUAUAUUUUGAAUAUUUUUCCGUUGGAAUUGUUCUAUACUUGUACUAUAAUUAUUUCAUAUACUUAAAUUUGAUCCAUUUAUAAUCCCUAUAGAAGACAAUUUAAUAUACUUUUGAUGUAUAUUAAUAUUUAUAAAAAAUAUCUUAAGUAAUUAUUUUUUAAGAACAUAUUUUUAUAAAAGAAAUUAGAUAUUAGUCUUCUGUUUGUUAUCUAUAUUAUAAUCUAGGUCGUAUUAUUUGGUUAGGGUUUUUUUGUAAUUUUAGCAAAUGUUUAAAUGUAUAGACAUGAAUAUGUAAUGGUAGUUGGGUAUUAAAUGUAUUCGCAUAAAUAUGUAAUGGCAGUUGGAUAUUAAAUAUAUAGUCAUUAAUUUGUAAAUCUGACUAUUGGAUAUUUAAGUAUACAAUCAUACAUACGCAAUAUUUAGUUAUAAAUUUUCAAAUUGACCAUGAAAUUAUUAAGAAUGCAAUUAAAUUAAUUUAAUGAGUUGAACUAUAUGUGUUUGUAUUUGAAGUAGUUUUUGAAUAUUUGAAGUAGUUUUUGAUUUAUUUUUGUGUAUAGAAUGAACAUUUUAGUAAUUUAGCAUAUUUUAAUAUUGUAUUAUAUUAGUGCAAAUUGUUCUGUUCCUUUUAAAACUCAUACCAUAAGAUUUGUGUUUGGAUUGGUUGUGAAUUUUGUUAAAUUAUUUGUGUUAUAAUAUUCUUUUUUAUCUUGUUUAAAUAUAUAUAUAUAUAUAUAUAUAUAAAUAAAAAUAUAUAUUUUAAAAAUUGAAAAUAUAUAUUGUGUGUUGUUUUAGUGUGAUUAAAAUGAUUUUUUUGAAUAAAUUUCUGAUAUUUCAAUUUUCUUUUGUAUAUGAUAUUUUGAUUUAGUUAUAUCAUUUGUUGGUUUUUCAUAUAUUUGUCAAUAUAAGGUUAUAAUGUAAUUAUAUUAUAACAUUUUUUAUAAUUAUUAUUUUUAUAUAUAAAGGGAUUUCCUUUUAACUGUUUUUUUUUUUAUAAAUUUUAUCCUCAUAUUAAUAUUUAUUUUAUUAUUUUAUCAUUCUUCUGAGUAGUUACUAAAUAUAUUAUGAUUUUUAUAAAAUUAUAUUUUGAAAACUAUUCUUUUUUCUUUUUAAAACUAAUAUUUUAAAAAAAUUAAUAUCUGUUGAGUUUUCUUUUUUUUUUUUACAUGUUUUUUAUUAUUUUAUUUAAUUAUUAUUUUGUAACUACUUGAAUUUGAAAUGGUAAAAUUAAAAAAUAUUACUUAAAUUGAAAAUUGAGAAAAAAAAACUAAUUGAAACAUCAGAAAUAUAUAAAAAAUUCUUUCUUUAAAUGUUUUUAAGUAUAUACAAUUUUAUUCCUAUAGGUAAAUAUCAAUAAAUUUGUUUAGAAGAUCGAAAAAGAGAUAUUUAAAAGAAUAAAGAGUAGGAGGAAGAAAGGAUGAUGGUUUGUUUUGAUGAGAAUAGAAGAGGUAAAUGAGGGUGUAAAACACAGGAAAAUUUCCUGUUUAUAAACACAGAAAAAAAAAAAAACGAAAAUCAGUGUCGUAUUUCGCUCUUUGCUUUCGUACACCUCGUCUUCCACGGCACACUCAUUUUGUUCCACAAAUUCUUCACCCAAUGCAGCAUCGACGCAACUCUUUGCUUCUAAACGUGAGUCUCUCACCUCUAAUUUUGUUACUUCUUUCUUUUGCUUAGGCACAAGUUGCUUUAGGUUGUUAAGGUUCUUCGCAAUACACCUUCUUUUGUUGUCAAUUUUUAAUUUUAAUUAUUAUUCGUUGCAUGAAAUUAAACUGAUCAAUCGCAAUUCGGCUGUUGCUUGGAUUUGAGAAUUAGCUCUUGGCUUUCUGAAUUAAUUUCCUUAGCAAUGCAAUUGGGUUCAGUUUGCGUUUAAGUAUUGGUGGAUGUUGAGAAAGAAAGGACAUAGGGAAGAAAAGGGAUUAACAUGCUCUUAAGGAUAAGAAAAAAUAAUCAUAUUUUAUUAUAUUUAUUUUUUAUGUAAUAUUUUUCAUAAUUAAUAAUAAUUGGGAUGAAUUUUUUAUUAUUAUUUAAUGAUAUCAUGUUUAUUAUUUAAAAAUAAAAAUGUAGAGGUUAUAAGGUUUUUACAUGCAUCUGCUGUUGUAAUUAUUAUACUGAAAACUAUUUUUAUUUCUUUUAUUCAGAUGCUUAAAAUUGACUGGUUAUAUAAUUGAAAAACGAUCAAAAAUUGAAAACUGACCCAUUCUAACUUGUUACUUUAGAUUUUGAUUUGAGUAAGUAAUGAUUUAUUAUUAUGUUUUCAUUUAAUAAUAUUUGUGUAGAGUUAAUCCACAAGUAAUAAGAACCUAAAAGUAUUGUUUAAUUGUUUGAUGAUAAAAGAAUGAAGAUAUGAGAACGUGUAUUUUGUUACUGUGAAUGAAAAAUAUAACCAAGAUUAUGAAACAAAAUAUUAAUGAUAGUCAGAUAUGAGAGUGAAACUUGUUUACUAUGGUUAUCAAUUUGUUUUUAUUAAAAUUAGAUACUAAAGGAGCAUUAUAAUUUUUAAUAAUAAAAUUAUAUAAUUGAUUUAUAAAUGAGUGAAAAUUAUAAAUAAUUAAUUAUAUUAAAAUAGUUUAAGACAGUUUUUUUAUUUCAAUAAUAUUUUAUUAUAACAUGUUUAACAUUUUUUUCUCAUAAAUCACUUUGAUUUCUUUUGUAAAAAUAUUUAGUCUGUGUAAUUUAAAGUUUAUAUUAAAUUUAAAAAUAUAAUCUUUUGUAAAUAAUAGUCUUUUUUGUUGUUGAGCCAAUUUAUUAAAGUAAAAAUAUAAUCAAAUUUUUAAUUUUAUUUGGUAUUGAAUUCUUCUAUAUCUUGGAUGCAAAAUCAGUACUAUUAUCUUUUAAUUUUAACAAUUAUAUAGUUUUAUACUUAUUAAAACUAUUGGUGAAGUUUAUUUGAUGUUUUAAUUUAUAUGUUUUUUAAAACUUUAUUUUAUUUUUUACUAGCAUAUAUUUAAUAGUAAAAUAUUGAAUACACACAAAAUUAAUUUCAAAGUGUGUGAGUUUAUAUUCAGUGUUAUGAUAUUGGACUUUUGCCCAUAUGAUGCAUUUUCAACUUUUACUAGAUUAGCUUGAAAAACUUUUUACUCAGUGCAUAUCAUUUCACCAAGUAUAUCUUUAUUUUUUAAAACUCACUAAACAUUUUGAAAUUGGGUUUCCAAAUUUUGUAAUCACAUACACAAUGUUAUUUUCUUAUUUAGUUUAUUUUCUCAUAUUUGACAUUUGUUUAUAUUUUUUUUUAUUUUGGAUUUUUUAUUAUGUCAUUUCUCUGUUUUUUAUUAUCUCAAAAUUGCAUUAUUUAUUAUUUUUAUCAUCAUUGAAUAGUUUUACAUAAAUUAAAUUAAUUUCAUUAAUCUUUUUUUGAAAAUGUAAUUUUUUAUUGUACAAGAUACUGUUUUGAAACAAUCAAAUUCAAGAAAGUUUAUUUUAACAGUGUUUUUCUACUUUUAAUUUUUUUUAUUUCUUCCCUAUAUUUUUUAAUAUAAACAAACUCAGGGAGAUGUUCUUAUGUAUAAAGUUUUUCAUCAUUUCACAGGUGAACAACAAAAAAUCACUAGUGAAGACAACUGAAAAAGAAACAAGUUCUUUAACUUCUGUCAUAUACAAAGAAAUGUCUUUCUUAUAUACCUCUACCUUAUUGUAGAGGAGAAUAAUGACUGUAUAUAAUCAUAUCUCACUGCUGCUUAAACAUUCAUACUACUUAAUCAUAUUUGCUUUACUUAUAAUAUGUUCUAUGAAAGAAACAUUUCAUAACUAGUUGAAUGAAAUUGGUGUAUGCAUUUGCUAAGAACAUAGUUCUUUAUUGCAAUGUAGGCACAUAUAGUUGAAAUUUCAUAGGUUCUUUCAGUCAUUAUUUUCAAGAAAUGGAUAAUCUGUGUAUCCAACAACAGGAUCACUGGUGUAAAAAGUUCUUCUAUCAGGCUUGUUCAAUUCAGCAUCCAUUUCAAAUCUCCUUGGUAGAUCUGGAUUAGCCAAAAACAAGCGUCCAUAAGCCACCAAAUCUGCACCAUCAUCGGCAACCACUUUGUUUCCACCACUCUUAUUGUACCCCCCUGCAACAAUAAAGGUUCCACCAAAAGCCUUUCUGAUAGGCAACAAGGACAUAUUGGUCUCACACUUUUCAAACAUUGUAAUCAUCCUGGGUUCAAUGACAUGACAAUAAAGAAUGUCCAAUUUGCUUAAGGAUUGUGCCAUAUAAAUGCCCAAUGCUUGAGGGUCAGAGUCUUUGCAAUCACAAUAGUUAGCAAAAGGAGACAGUCUAACACCAACUUUCUCUGAUCCAAUCUCAUCAACUAUUGCCUUCACAACCAUGAGUGGAAAUCGACAACGAUUCUCUAAGCUACCUCCAUAUUCAUCAUCUCUGUCGUUCACAUGGUCUUUAAGGAACUGCUCAAUUAAGUAUCCAUUGGCUCCAUGUAUCUCCACACCAUCAAUGCCUGAAUAAAUUACCAGUUGAAUCACACAUAUAUUGACUUUGUCACAUUAUCUUCUUCAUUAACAUGAAGUUUUUAGUAACACAAUUUUUUAUUAAAUAUGAUUGAGUAUAAAUAUAUCACUUAAGCACUUUAGCAUAUCACAUGCAUGCAAGUAUGUAGGUAACAUUUUGUAGAGUCAAAUCACAUUUUGAAUGAGGAACUAGAAGAAGAAGAGGAAUCUGUUGAGCAAAAGUUACUACCAGCUUCUAUAGCAUUUUUUGCUGCCAUUCUGAAGUCAUUGACAAUCAUAGGUAUUUCAUCUGUUCUGAGAGGACGUGGAGGGGGGUAUUUAGUGCUGCUACCUUCAAUUGCCUUGUUUGUACUUGAAAUUGGAGGUUCUCCAUUUGGCUGAUACACUGUUCAAUAUAUAUUAUCAAUGUUUACCGCAUCAUUCGUGCAAAACUUCAAAAUAAUUAAUGAAGGUUGAAAUUUAAAUGAAAGUUCAGAGACACCAUCAUAUGCACUAUAGUACUGUCAUAUAGAGUUUCUAGUGAAGGGGAAUAAAUACAAAUAUGAAUACCAUAGUUGGAGACUCUUCCAGCAUGCCAAAGUUGGCAAAAGAAUAUACCCCCUUUCUGGUGAACAGCUCUCACAAUUGGUUUCCAUGCUUCCACUUGUUCUCUUGUCCAAAUGCCUGGUGUAUUUGGGUAUCUUUAACAAGGAAAAAAGAUGCAACAAAUGAAUUAAUCAAAUUUCUGGGUACCAAAGCUUUUUGUGGUUGACCAGUUUUGAAAAACAUGUUAGUUUAUGUUUCUUCCUUUUUGCCAAUGUGUCUAGUUUCUGAAAUUCCUAGGAAUCAUACAUUGAGGUUAUUCACUUGAGAAAAAUACAGAAAAAAAUGAAAAGAAUGGAAGAUAAGACUACCCUUGUGCAGUUUCUGACACCCCUGAGGCUUCUCCAAUCAAAAGUCCACCCUUUGUUGUUCGUUGAGAAUAAUAGAGAGCAGCAUGAGGCUGAGCCACGAAGUUGUAAGAUCUUGUUCUUGUUAAUGGUGCCAGAACAAUCCUACAGCAUGGAACACAUAUUAACCAUUUCUCUAUACACUGAGUUAGAAUUUGGUUUGAGGAACCAAUAUGUGGUGAUCAAGGUAAUAGCCAUGUCAAUUUACCUGUGAGAUAGAUUGAAUUUUCCCAUCUUGAAAGGGGUGAGAAGGGGUAUCACUUCCCUUCCAUUAACCACCUUCUCCUUCUCUUCCAUUGUCUCCUUGUUCAUCAUCCUUUUCCCACCUUGCUAAUUCAGAAUCUGUGAUGGAAUAUGUGGACUCUUGCUCUUCAUUCUUAUAGUAAAUCAAAAUAGUUGUCUUUUUAACUUUUUUUUUAUCUUUUUUCUGAAAGUCAUAAUAAAUCCAAACGAAUUUAUGUGGACUGUUAACUACUAUAUAUUUUGCCUUGAGUUAAUCAAUUUGCAUUUAUUAUUAUAUCUUUUUUUUAUUAGAAAUAUAUUUGUUUUUAAUACUAUUAAUUGUUUUUCACAGGAUUUAAGAGAAUGAAUUCUUUAUUACUAUUUACACUUUUAUUUUUCCAACUAACAUUUUAUUUUUAUUUUUCUAUCUAGUGUCAUUUAGAAAGUAAAAAUAAAUAAAUUAAUAAAUUAAAUAAAAAAUAUAGUUUUUUUUUAAUUUUUUAUUUACUUUUAAAAUCGUGCUAGACAGAGAAAUAAAAACAAAAAGAUGUUAGAUAUGAAAGUAAAAAACAAAUGGUGAUAGAUGAGAAAAUAAAAGUAUAAAUAGUGCUAGACGAGGAAUUGAAUCAUUUAAGGUAUUUUAUUUCUUUUUCAAUAAAUUUAUUAUGUGUAAUAAUGUAUUGACAACCCAUAUUUUUUAUACAACUACAUUACAAUUCUUAAUAUUAUUAUUUUAAUAUUUUUUUAUAUCAUUUAAUUUUAAAUUUACCCUUUAUCAUAUAUAUUUAUUUCUAAAUUCAUUACAUCAAGACUUGUAUACAACUCAAUGGGUAGUCAAAGUAUCAUUUUUCUUUUGUUAUUUCAUAUAAAAAUUGAAAUUUUAGAUAUUAUUAAAUACUAUUUAAUAUUAUUAAUGUUAAUAAAAAUUAUUAAUGUUAUUAAAUAUUAUUAAUGUUAUUAAAUAUUCUUAAUAUUAUUAAAUAUUAUCCAUAUUAUUAAUAUUAAUAAUAUAAUACUAAUUAUAUUAAUUUUAUAAUAUUAAUAAUAUGUAUACUUAUUAGUUAUGAUUAAAUAUUAUUUAUGAAUAUUAAUUAUGAUUUUGUAAUUAUUGAUAUUAUAAUAAUAUUUUUAAUAUUAAGUAUAUAAUUAUUAUGAUAAUAGUUGGUAGGUAGUAGAGAUCCGUAGGUAAAAAUUGGUAGGUAAUAAGAUUCGUUAGUAAUAGUUAGUAGGUAAUGUUGAAUUUACCUACAAAUUCAUAAUCUGUAAGUAAUAUCCACAUUCCGUAGGUAGUGCUGAAUUUACCUAUGAAUUCAGAUCCAUGGAUAAAAAUUCAUAGAUAAUACUAUUUUUUUUGUAGUGAGAAAGAAAAAUAAUUUUUUACACAAGUUAUUUGAAGUUUUUAUUUUCUUAUCAUUUUAGAGUUAUUGUCCUGAUAUUUGUUGAAAAAAAUUAAAAUUAUGUUGAUGAGUAUCUUAUCACGAAUAAUUGAAAGUGAGUUUAGUAUAUAAUAUAAUCAUUGUUUUUAGUUAUUCUUCACUGUUAUGCCAAUUGAUGUCCACUGCUAUGAAACAUAAUCUCCUUCCCUUUUUAAAUGAUGGCCAUUUUUGAAUUUAGCUUUCUAAUUCAUUUUUCCCUUCACAUACUUUGAAUGAUUUUGUUGUGCAUUGUAUUUGUAGAGAAAAGAAACCGUUGACACUUUUCUCUCUCUCUUUUUUAUCAUUUGAGUUUUAUUUGUGCAUUGUAUUUAUCUCCUUAAAGAAAAUAUUAUGAGUGGGGAUAACUCUAAAUCAUAUUACAAUUAAAAAAAUAAAUAAUUUUAAAAUUGCAUUGUGCUACAUUAUAUAUGUAAACUAGUGUAAUGUGUGUCAUUAUAUUUGUAAACUAGCGUUUUUAGUGUGUAAUGAUCAAAAUAACAUUUUAAAUAUAUUAUAGGUUGAAGAUUUCACAUUAUUUAAAAAUUAAAACAUUUAAUAGUAUAUAAAUAGAUACCAACUUCACUUUAAAAACCGAUUUUAUGAAAUUUAGUUAUACAAAUUAAAAAGAUUAAUUCUUUAUAUUUUUUUAUAUUUAAACUCAAAAUUAUGUUUAUGUUAGCCAAAUAAGAUAUUUCAAUGUGAUUAGAAGUUUGUUGACAUUAAUAAAAAAAAAAUCAAUAAUUUAUAAAAGGAAUGGCUUGGUGGGUAUGAGAGAAUUAUAAAAGUUGGAGGAAGAGUGGAGAAGGUCUUCUUUUUAACAUAUCUUUUUUUAUCACAUUGGUAAGUGGUGAUAGGCCAUAAGAUUUGGGUGGAGAGUGAAAGCUUUCAUGAUAGACUACAUUUAUUUAGCAUAUCUUAAUUAAGGAUUUCAAUGUUCUCUUUUUCUUAAAGUGUAAUCUUCUUCUAACACUUCUUAAUUGUUGUAAAAAUGGAGAGAAGUAUAAUAUAUUCUCAAUACUAAGAUAUGCCAAAUUUUCAGUAUUUUUUUUUCACUAAAGAUAUAAUAAAGAUAUAAGAGACUUUCAACUUGAUAUAAUGAGAUUUGACAAAGUUCAAGGUAAAAUAUUACGUGAACAAAAAGUUUGACAAAACAUGAUAAAAUUACACUCAAUUUAGAUACGUCCAAAGUCUUUACCGUGAAAAAUCAAUAAUUUGAGUAAUUCAAUAACUUCAACAUAUAAAGACUUUUGAACUUCAAGAAAAAUAAAAAAACUACAAUCUUACUUCCACGAAAAAUACUAAUAUGGAUUAAAAAAUCUUAAAGAAAAAUAAAGAAAUUACAACCUUACUUCCACGAAAAAUAACAAUAUGGACUAAAAAAUCGAGACAUCCUCUAGCAAUACCAUUUGUAUUGAUCUUUUGUCCAAUUAAUAUAAAAAAAACUUUGAAAGAACUAAAAUAGACAAAAAAAAAAAAAACUCUUUCCACCUUGUGACAACAUAAAGAAAUUUUAAACAUGGAAAAUAAAAAAUGUCAUCAUGUAUUUUGUGGAAGCAUUACCUAUUAUGCUUAUAUAGCCUUCGAUAAUAUAGAAAAACACAUUGUUUCUAUGUAUACGAGUUUAACAAAUGUUAAAUCUAAUUAUGAUGGAGAUUGUAUUUAAGGUAUGAUAAUUGUAUUUUAUCUAAUGAAAGCUUUUUGUAAACCAUUCGUUUAAGCAAUGUAUUGUGAAAAAAAGGAAUGCCCCUCAUAAUUAAUUGUCAAAUAGAAAGAGUUAUAUAUAUUAAGGAAUGUGAAAAUUAUAUUAGUAAGCAUAACUAUUACCAAUUAUUAUUACUGACUUAGUAAGUUAUUUUCAGGUUUUUUGAUCAUGAUGGGUUAUUUUUUUUGUUUUCACCAAAAUGGAGUCUGUUUAAAAAAAUUACAAAUUUAGACAAGUCGUGCCAAUUCGGCACGACUUCAUAUGCAGAAGUCGUCCCAAUUAGGCACGACUUCUGCCCUGUCAUACUAGUCGUGUCAACUUAGCACGACUUCUGUCACGUCAUAAUUUUAUUUUAUUUUUAUUUAAUUGUUUAUAUAUUGGGUAGUAAGUUAUGUAAUGUUAAAAAUUAAUUUGAUACAUAAUUUUCUAAGAGUGUUAGUUUUAAGGAACAAAAAAUUGGAUAAUUGUGUAUGGAUCAUGUUUGAAUUGAAUGAAUAAAUAAAUAAUUUACUUCUAGCUCAACUUUAUAGUUUUAUUUUAUAUCUUGUAAUGAAUCUUACUAAUUUGUUUAGUUCUAAUUAAUAAUCUCUUCUCAUCAUUACGUGUUCUGUAAAAUCAUUACUUCUCAAGCUAUUUAUUUUGCAAAUUCACAACAAUAAUUCUCUAUUUAUUUUCCAAAUACAAUAAAUUUUCAUUUAUGUAUUUAUUUCCAAAUUCAAUAACAAUUUUCUUCAUUUUUUAAUUAAUCAAAUAAUCAAGUUAUUGUAUUACAUUACCGUCAAACAUGAUCCAUACACAAUUAUCCAAUUUUUUGUUCCUUAAAACUAACACUCUUAGAAAAUUAUGUAUCAAAUUAAUUUUUAACAUUACAUAACUUACUAAAAAAAUAAAAAAGAUUAUGACGUGGCAGAAGUCGUGCCAAGUUGACACGACUUUAGUAUGACAGGACAGAAGUCGUGCCUAAUUGGAACGACUUUUGCAUAUGAAGUCGUGCCGAAUUGGCACGACUUGUCUAAAUUUGUAAUUUUUUUUAAACGGACCCCAUUUUAGUAAAAACAAAAAAAAAAAAACCCCAUCAUGGUCAAAAAACCUUAUUUUCAUUUAAGUUAAAAGAAUUUGCAAUGUAGUUAAAAAUGAUAAUAACAUAAUCUAUACCUAUAUAUAAAGGGGAUUCCUCUCUUUAACUGUUCUCAAUUAUUUUCCUAUUUUAUCCUUAUAUUAAUAUUUAAUUUUAUUACUUUAUUAUUGACAUUGCGUCAUUUUCUAUUUUUUUAAAAAUAUAUUAAAACAGUUAUCACCACUACAAGAAAAUUAUUAAAUAAAAAUUAAUUUUAGUGACUAAAUUAGAGAUCAUUUUAUAGACUAAAAAAAUAUUGGUUUCUAUUAUUGAUAAAUAAUUUCUAAAUUGAUAUCUAAUUAGAUACCAAGAUUUUUGCUACCAAAUUUAGAAUCUAAAUAAUUGGUAGUUAAAAUCUUGGUAGCUAAUUAGAUAUCAUUUUAAAAAUUAUUUAUCAAUAAUAGAAAUUAAUUUAGAAACUAAUAAUUUUUUUGUCUCUAAAAUAUUUCUAAUUUAAUUACUAUAACAAAUUUUUUAUCUUUAAAAUUAGUUUUUAUUUAAUUUUUUUCUUGUAUGGCACAUGCAAUUUUGAAUGUAGAACAAUUUUUUUUUAAAAAAAAUUAAUUUUCUAAAAUAUAUCUUUAUUUCUUCAAUUUUUACGGACAAUUGUUGUUUUCUAAUUUUGAAUUUUUGGUAUUUUAUCACCGUAUUUUCUCUUUUCGCUUUUUCUCACUUUAUCUCUCUUCUUCCUCAAAGAUACAUAUAAUAAUAGUAAAAAAAAAAAAAAAAAUUUGGAUAUAUUCGCUCUCUGCACCUGUGUUCCCUAGUAUAUAAAAAAAAUGAUUAGUGUAAUUAUUGUGCUCAUAUUUUUUUUAAGCCACGUCCAUUUUUAAUUUUUUUAAGUAAUUUUUAAAGUCAAUUAUUAGUAUUUAAUUAUAUAAUCAAGAGUUUUUCCCUGGAUUUGUAAAGUCGAAAUAAAUAUAUUAAAACACGAGUGCAAUUAAUAAUGAAGAAAAGGAAAAAUUGGUACGUCAUGAUAAUAUUAUUUUUUAUUUCACUAGACACCCAUCUCCCUCCCACAAACAAAAUAUAUAUAUAUAUAUAUAUAUAUAUAUAUAUAUGAAUACCAUAAAUAGGGACAUUUUAAGUAACUUAAUAGUGUUUUGGAUGGUAGUCUUAUCCACCAAAAGUUUUCAGACACAUUUGUUCCCCAUCAUACUCAUAAUUUCAAUUACAAUAAUAUUACAACUUAUUAUUAUAUGACAUUAAAAUUGUAUUACUAUAUUACUUUUAACAAGGAUGUCUUUAGAAUUUUUUAACAUUAAAAAUAUAAACCAUUAAAAAAUACCUUGCAUUAUAAUAUUUGCAUUUUAUUAUAAAUUCAAAAUAUAACUUACUUAUUUAAAAUAUUUAUUUAUUAUUAAUGUAAUUACAAAAUAACUAGUUUUGUCAAACAAACCUUAAUUAUUUGAAGGUAGCAACUAAGAGUGAGAAUGAAAUGUUUAUAGUGUUAAUGAAUUUAGUUCUUUCCUUGGAUUCAAACAUCAAAUUCUUUGUGAAAUAUCAAUUAUAUUAAAUCCAUUGGGCAUUAGCAAGUUUUAGUGUUAUUUUCUUGUUGUUCAAUCAUAUAAAUAACCUUUCUAAAAACAUUGAAUUAUAUAUUGGUUGAGAUGGAGAAGGGUUGGUAAAGAGAAAAAAGUAUUCAUGCAUUUAGCACAGUUUGCAAAUAUAUAUUCAAUUAUUAUGAAUGGCAAUGAUAACAUUAUCUUAUCUUAUUACUAAAGACAAUCCACUGAUUCCAUUCUUUGUAUGCCCAAUAGUUAGAGGCAUGUCUGCCCUUCUUUCAGGGACUACUUCAUUAUUAUGCACUUGAAUACAGAUAUCUAACUACAUUCAAUUUCCAUUAUAAACUUUUUUUAAACUUAAUUAUCUUUUUUCAUUUCAUUUAAUCCAUUUACUAAUAAAAAUUUAAAUAAAGUUCCUCAAUAUUGAAAAUGUUAUUUUAAAUUUUAAUUGAAUAUCUCAAUUAUUAAAAAUAAAUCUUUCCCAUAUUCAAAUUAAUGUAACUGGACUAAGCCAUGAAUAACUAAUUUUAAUUCAACAUAUGAGAAUCUCUUAUUAACUCAUGCUCAUGCUUGUGCAUAAUAUUAUACAUUUAUGAAUGAUUAUGCAUUAUAUUAUAUAUUUAUCAUAUUAUAUAUUUAUGGAUCAUCUUAUAACGGAUCCUAUAAUAAAAUUGAAUAAAAUUUAAAUAAUUUUAUUAAAACAAACUUUAAAUGAGUAUAAUAUUACUAGCGAAAACACGUAUAUUGUUCUCUUUUACCAACUUUCAAAAUGAUAGAAAUUUAACAUAAAUAAUUUUAGAUGAGUCAUAAAUAAAAAAGUAAAAAAUAACAUAUGGAAAAGAAAAAUGAUGAAUUUCUCUGGUAGAGUCUCUCUUAUUCCAUUAGUAGUUUUGGGAUCGAAGAGUGUGAUGAUGUUCACGUUGCUUGAAAUGGAGUGAAGAGAGUGAUUGAAAAUUAAUGUUAUUUUAUUUGAUAUGUGAGAUUUGGAGUAGAAACAUGUGAGAAUAUACACUCUCUUUCUUCCGGUUGUUGUCUUAAAAUAAAGAAUUAAGAAAAGAGUGAAAGAAUCAGUUUACCUAUAAAAAGUGUACAUUAAUAUUAAAUUAAAAAAUAGUUUUAUUUUUUAAGUAAUUCAUAUGAAAUGACCAAAUACUUUAUUGUACUAAUAAAAUGAGAUAUAUUAAAUAAGGAUAAAAUAAAAAAAAAUUGUGUAAAAAAAAAAAAAUAGUAAAAUAUCCCUUUUAUAUAAUAAUAUAUUAUUAUAAAAUAAAUUUUAAAUAUAACUUAACCAGUAAUUUUAUAUGUGUAGUACUGAAAUCUCCAAGAGCUUAUUAUUAAAUUGAUUUUUGUAGUCAUAUAUUCUAAUGAGUCAUAUAAUCUACUAUUUUUAUCAUUUCCUUUUCACAAUUGCUACUCUUUCUUGCUCAUUCUAUUUUUUUUUUUUAGAACUAUGCUUAGCCAACUCAAGCUUGACUAUCUACCAUCCAAAACCUUCAUCCAACAUUAGAGAAACCCUUUUUCUUAUCCUAUACACAUUAAACCAAUCUUUAUGAUCCAAGAAGUCAAAACCAACAACACCAUAAAGUCACUAUAGGGACCUUGUAGCUUUUAACCCAUCAAAUCAACUCCAUAAUUCAAAUCAACCAUACUAUUAAAUUUCCCUAAUCAUACACAUCAAAACUCCACCAACCUCACAAAAACCAACAAGUAUACACUAAAAACACUUACUUCACCUAAACAUAGCUUCCGCAAACCUCCACCUUUGAGUUCUUCCAAAAACUCAUCAAGAACAUUAGAAGAGAUACUUGACUAAAACUCACAACCAUUCCCUACCUCUCAAACUGAACCGCACAAAGGCACCUAUAACUCAACCAAACUAAUCUAGGAGCAAGGUUAUUUACCUUAAAACCUUUCUUUUUGCUCUUAAAGUGAGUAAGAAGUGUGGUCAGUAUUUUCUAUUCUGACCCAAAUAUAGUUCUUGUAUUUUUUUUGGGUUUUUUUUUGUUUUAGAGCAAUGUCUUCAAAAGGGUUCUCCUCCUAAACCAAGAACAGCCAAUUUAAUAACUCAAAUAAAUUAUAUGCAAUAAGUAGAAAAUUACUAUUGGAAAUUCCAAUCUGACAUUGCAAGUUAAGUUAAAAAGAAAAGGGAAACAAAUAUUUUAGGUAUAUUAACUUUGAGAACUAAAUAUGGUUAAAAUUACUAUAUUAAAAAUUGAAAGUUAUGGUAGAAUGAUAUUCUAAUUAAUGUAGCUAAGGGAAAAAGAUUAUAGAUAGUCACACUAUUUUCCUAUUAGAAAAAAUAAUAUUAAUCUUUCAACUUCAAAGGUUAAAACAAGAAAAUGAAAGUAUAGAAGAAUAUUAUAAAAGAAAAGGAAGUGAAAUCCAUCAAAUUGAAAUAGAAGAAAGCUUGAAGCCUACCAUAGCAAAAUCCUUAAAUAACUUGAAUCAUAACAUCCAAAACAUAGUACACCUACAAAACCAUAUAUCUUUAAAGAAAUAUUUUUUAUAGAGAACAAAAUAAAAUAAUUUUCAAAAUUAUUUAGUAAGAAAAAACAUAUAUUAUUUAAACAAUAAAAUUAUUAGAAAGGAAAAAUAUUUGAAAAAAACAAAAAACUUAUAUUUAAAAAAUAUGAAAAUGUUGAAAAUAAUAAGAAGAAUAGAAAAAUUAUUUUGAAAAUAUAACCACGUUGUUUUAUGAAAUGCUUUUAUUUCAUAACAACUUCCUUUUAUGUCGGGAAACAAAGUUCUGGCAGCACUCUCGGUUGUUUUUCAACGGCCUAAACAAAAAUGUACCCUGUUUCAUUGUCAAUACAGUUUAUCCUGCACCUAAGUUUUUCUAAGUUUCUUCCUGUUUUCGUAAGUUUUUCUUUACUUACUGCACCCAAAAUGUUAUGAAAAACAAAUAUAUCCCUAAUAUUCUUAAAAAACUCUAAAAUGUACACAACACAAUACCCAGAUCUACAGAAGAAUCCUAAUAUUAAUUGAUAGUCUUUUCUAAUUAUCAGUUGUUUCUCUUUAUAAAGAAUAAUAAUUGGGUGUCUUUUCUAAUUAUCAGUUGCUUAUCUUUAUAAAAGAGAAUAAAGAUGUCUUUUCUAAUUAUCAGUUAUUUAUCUUUAUAGAGGAGAAUAACCUUUAUUUUAUCUUUGUGCGUUAUGAUUCUAGUAUUUAAUUAUUGAUUAUUUCUUUCUUUAGUUAAACCCUAGAAUGAGUGUACUAUUUGUAUAUAUUAAGACCAUUUAUUUUGAUUUGAAUAAUAAGAAAAAAGAGAUAUUCAUUUUCAUAUCUUUUGUAAGUUUACUCUUUUGUUCAUCUCUGUUCUAUUUUGUAAUACUUGUCUUUCUUCUUCCUUUACACGCAUAGUGCUCUCUUAACGAUGGCGCCACUCCACCUCUUGAUAUUUCUCCAUCCCUAAAAUGUGAUUAGUUGUGUCUUCGCUGUGUUGAUGGUUACAUAUGUUGAUGUCAGACAGUACAAUCCACUAGGUUUAAAAAUAAGGAAAUUCGCACUUUGUUUUUUUGUCAGAGAAUUGAAUCCACAAAACUCCCAUAUUCAUGCAUCCAUAAAUCAUUCAGAGUCCGAUAAUUUUCCCAUUGCAUAGUAUGUUUUUGGAUUUCAGAAUCCAAAUAAAAAAAAUACAUUAUGGAUUCAAAAAUCAGUAAUAAAAGGUCGAGACUAAUUUAGGAAUUUUAAAAGUUAUGAGGGUGCAGAAAGAAAAACGUAGGGGUUCAAAAAGAGACUUCCCAUUGUCAAAUGGUUAGAGAUAGUUGUAAUACUACUGCAGUCAGAAAAUUUCUUCAUGCACCUCCAUGGAAAAAGAAACUUAGAAUUUUAUCCUCUUCUUUAUUGAAGAUCCCACCUGCAACUUUCAUUGUGUCUCUUGGUUCAAUCACAUUAACUUUCACUACCAUAACUCCCCACCUUCAACACUACUACUACUGCACACAUAAAUUGUAUUCUUUAAAUAAAGUUGAAGAAAAAAUUGUAUUCAGAAUAAAGAAAUUGUAUUUUUUAAAUAAAAAUAAAUUGUAUUUUUUAAAUAAAAAUAAAUUGGUAAUCCUUUAAAUAAUAUUAAUGUAAGAGUCAUGUAAAUAAGAAAUUUCAACAGUGUUAAUGUGAGGAAAAUAUGCUUGAUCAUUUUUAUGUUACCGGAGACCCAUUGUUAUAGGUUUUGCUGUAAGUGUACGUCUGGACAUGCUCUAAUUACGCCUCCACUUCCUAAGCUUCAAACACAAAUAUUCCCAAACAACAACCACAAAAAACAAAUCUACAAUUAUUUAUUCAUUUAUUUCCACUAAUUUAUCGUUAUUAGUUAUCGUCAUACAAAUUUUCAAAAUUAAGCCAUUAAUAAUGCAGUUAGUUAGCUAGCUUAGUUUAGUAAGUGUACAUAAAUGCUAUUAGAUAAUUUCAAUAAAUUGUAAUUGUUUGGAUUUAAUAUACGGGUAAAUCUAUAAAUUGAUUGUUAAAAAAAUUAAAAGGUAAACAGCAAGAACUCUAUGACCGAUUUUGCUACAAUACUUAAUGUUAUGGUUUUAUUAGUUUUUUAUUUAAUCAACGUAUCAGUGAAAUUUGAUAGCAUUUAUCAAAAUUAAUGUAUCUUCAUCAUUAAGAAAUAUAAUAUAAUAAAUUCAAAAUGCAACUAUGGUCAUUCUUCUAAAUGAAAAAACAACAUUUUGAAUUUUUAAAGAGAUGAAUUUAAUACCUAAAAGGAGGGUGCUCAUAUUUUGAUUUCUGAUAAAAUUUCACUGAAUUAAUAUAUUUCAGAAGGAAUUUAUCGCCCUAAAAAUAAAUUAUACUUAAACUAAAUUUCACUACUUUUAAAAUUAAGCUGCAUACAGGUCACAAAAAUUAAUCAAUUUUUUCUAAAUUAACUUAAUGAGAAAAUGUUAUAAAGAAGUGAAGUAAAAUUCGUAUUUAGGUAACACGACAUGAACACGAGUUUAUAUAUUAUAUAAUUAUAAAUUAUAUAAAUUGAUAAUAAAAAUUUAUAUGCACAAGUAUGUUCCAGAUUUCCAAGACUCGUAAUCGGUCCUCCGAGACUCGUAAUCGGUCCCCCGAGACUCGUAAUCGGUCCCGAGACUAGUUCAUAGUGGAUAGAAUAUAUUACUCAGACAUUUUCAUAUACAAAUGUUAUUUUAAUGAAAGAAAGUAAACUUAAAGUUAAAAAAAAGGAAGGAGGCUAACCUGCGAGAUUUGCGGUAUUAGGCCAAAUCGCGCAGUAAACUACGCUACUAAGUUUGACUUGAAGUCUGAGAACGCUCCCUGUCCCUGCAAAAUGCAAUUCAAUCCAAAACAAAACUGAGAUUUUAUCAGCACAAUAAAAAGGAGAUAGAAAUGGAGGCAGAGCAUCAUCAAGAAGCCUCAAACACUAUUGGAAGCCUUUACGUUAAAGUAAUGACCGACGAACAAAUGGAACUGCUGAGGCAACAGAUAUCUGUUUACGCCACCAUCUGCGAGCAGCUUGUGGAGAUGCACAAAGCCGUAACCACCCAACAGGACCUCGCAGGUUUUUUUUUGUUGCUUCUUUCGUAAAUCUAACUUUCUCAAACCUGUGCAUGCCAUCGCUGCACCCUCUUGAACAGUAGUGGCGAGCAACACACUUUUUUUAUAUAGAAAACGAGGGUUGUAGGUUAUGUUUUUAGCUGAUAUGGGACUUAACUUGAUAAAAUUUCAUUGUUUCAUUAUGCUAGUAAAUGAAAUGUAAGAUCUGUAAUUUGACAGUGGAUAAAGAAACAAGAUGAGUGUGUGAUUUGUUGUUAUACUUUGGGUCAGGGCUGAGGCUGGGUAAUUUGUACUGUGAUUCGUUGAUGGCGUGUUCUGGACACAAGAUAACUGCGAGGCAGCGUUGGACUCCAACGCCUCUGCAGCUUCAAAUUCUGGAACGUAUUUUUGAUGAGGGGAAUGGCACUCCAAGUAAGCAGAAGAUCAAGGAGAUAGCCAUUGAACUGGGCCAACAUGGCCAAAUAUCAGAGACAAAUGUUUAUAACUGGUUCCAGAACAGAAGAGCUCGAUCAAAGAGGAAGCAACUCGCUCCCGCAUCGAAUGUUGAGCCAGAAGCCGACACAGAAGUUGAGUCUCCACGAGAGAAAAAAUUACGCGCCGAAAGCGUUCAGGUUAUUCAACCCUUUGAGAAUUCAUCAUCAUCACCUCAUAGGAUCAAGGAUAUGUACAUCCACAGUCCUGACUUAGGUAUUAUUUUCAAUUAUUAGGAUCAAUUUCUCAAUAAACAUUUGUAUAAUCCCUUCAUAAGGUGGUUUUAAUUUGUAGAUAUGCAAUCUACAUUCUGUUGAUUUGUUUAUGCAGGAUUUGAGCAAUUGAUGAGUAAAAUAGAAGUUGCAGGGUGUUACAGCUCUUAUUUUCUUUGACAAAUGUGUGGAAUGGAUGGGUUGAAGACUCAAUUCUUGAUUGCAGUUUGGUAUAACUAUUUGUUCAGAUGCAAAUUGUAUAAAUUGUUUUGCCUAAGUCUUGAUGAACAGUUACUGUGAUCUGUUACAAUUUUAGGAGUUGUUUUGAAUCUGAUUGCUUCCCCCACUUAGCAUGAGCUUUCACUCAUCUGUGCUAACGUAUAUAUUAUAGUUACCUCAGAUUAUUAUCAUGGUUAGGCUGCAUUUACAUUACAUUUUGUGAGUUGUGUUGUUGUGAAAACCUGCUCAAUCAUUUCUUCAUAUUCUUCCUUUAUUGCUUUGCCUAUGCAGACCAAACAUACAUUCGAUAGAGAAGAGAAAUAAAAUAAUCAUUUAUGCAUUUCAUUCAUAACCAGCACUUUCCAUGGCUAUUGGUGUGGUCAUUCACUACUUUAGCCAACUUUUACACCAUAUUAAGGGGUGAUGAUGAUAUUUUAACAAUCAGUCAAAAUUAUAUAUUUCCUUUUUUGAUAAUUUUUAGAAUUUGAAUGGAAAGUGAGUAGAAAAAGAAGUAAAAAAAUUAAUUGUUUGUAAAUUACAAAAUAUCCUUAAUUUUACUUUAAUUUUGAUAAAAAAGUGAAUAUAAUUAAAAUUGAAAGUUGAGAAUCUUGUCCCCUUAGUUUCAUUUCAUUGGAUAACUUUUAGAAUUAAACACAACAUUCUUCCUUUAACAUAACCAAUGUGUUGAAAUUUUCUCAUAAAUUAUUUCACUCUAAAAGAUUAUAAAAACAAAACUCUAAUGAUUUAUUGAUAUUGAAUGUAUUAAUGCUUCUCUCCUAAAAAAAUCAUAAUGUUUUUAUAAAAAGAAUCAAAGUUAGGAAGAUAUUUCAAGUUUCUUAAUAUUUAAGGUGUGUACGUGUGACUAAAUUUAAUUUAGUAAUAUGUUUAGAUUACUAGCUUAUAUCUUAACAUUUUCAAUUAAUUAAUAUAUUUUUUAAAUAAAUAAAUCCAGUUCUUUUACUUGUUAGAAAUAACUAUAUUCCUUUUUAUAUUUUAAAAUUGACAAUAUUAAAAAUGGGUAACAUCAAAUAAUCACAAAUGGUUAAAAAAAAACACCCCAUAAAUAUUUAUAUAAACUAUGCAGAGAAUGACUUGCAUUCACAAAAAUAUAUAAUUAUCAUCUGAAUAUCAUUAUUAGAAACCAUGAUUAAAGUUGGAAAUGCAAGCCUUAGUCUUCAUUGUAGCUAUUUACAUAUUAUUCUACACAUAGAUUGUGUCCCUGUGCCAACUUCACAAGAGUUGAUGACAUAGUUGGAGUAUAGAUGAGAUGAGAAAGUCUAGAUUUGAAAUUCAAUUAUAAAAGUUUAUACACGUGUAUUUGUGUGAUUAUAUAGAGAUGGUAAGGAUAUUUAAAUCCUUGAAAUUUAAGUAGAAUAGAAAAAAAAAUUCAAAAACUUGCAUCACAUCAUAAUAUAUUGGAUGUAUUGUUGGAAUAACUGUGUUUUUCAUUACAAACAUGAUAAAAAAUAAGAAAAUUUUAUAUAAUAACAAUAGAAAAAUGAAAUUUAUUUUAACAAAUAAAACAAUAUAUUCAUAUAAAGUAAUAAUCAAAAGAAUAAGUUAUUAUUUUUGUAAUACUGAAACACCGAGGACCUGCGUAGUAGUCUCAGGAACUUGGUACAUCCCAUGAAAUUAGGGAUAGUAAAGCGGGAUGGUUCGCGUGAGUCGGUCCGCGAUUCGCUGGUAAAAAACGCGAGCAGGUUCACCUUUUCAACUCGUUAACCCGCAUUAGUCCGUCCUGCAUAACUCGCGGCCCGUGCGGGGUGUGGCGGACUGGUCCGCAAGCUCGCAAACAAAAAAAUAAAAAUUGACUUUGGGAGCAGUGGAGUAAAUGUUCUGUUUUUCUUCCUUUUUCAUUUUGGGGUAGAAAAUUGCAAGGGUCAUUGAAAUUAUAAUUUCCUUGAGACUCCUUUUUGGUCUAGUUUUAGGGAUGAGAAUACAGGAUGUUGGAUAUGAUAUUUUUCAUGUAAUUUGGAAUAAAUAAUAGUGGAUAUGUUAGGUAGUGGGUAAGUCAAGAAUAUUGGAAGGUUGAUACUUGGAUUAUAUAACAUUCAAUUAAUGUUUAUUGCUACAUUAAUUCUAAUGUCUUUGUUUUUUAUGACAAUUUUUCAAAAAAUCAUUGAAUUUCUAUUUUUUUUUAAUGCGGUCUGACCCACAAACCCGCAGACUAACCCUUAUGCGAGGAGAGAUGAAAAAUUUAGCGCGCACUCAUUUUGUGGGACGUGUUAAUCCGACCUACAUUUUACAAACCAAAUGCGGGACAGACCUAUGCGGGUGGACUGAUCCGCUUUGCCAUCCUAUAUGAAAUUCCACUAAAACUCUAAACAUGCUAUUAUUCAAUAAUGCAUCAAAUUAUCCAUAUAAUAUAAUUAAGAUAGUCUUUUUAAGAGCAACUUAACCGUCUGUAUUAUACCCAAAAUAAUUGUACAGAUAAAAAAAAAAAUCCCAAAAUCAAAAGAUAAAUAAAAAGAUACCUAAAAUCUAACCUAAUGCUUAUAAAUUAAAGCACAUUUAUAAAUAAACCCACUCACAACAACUUGGAGAUGGAGAUUGGAAAUCCGUAUAGAAGGUAAUUCACAGGAAAUUCCUCUUAUAAAAAUAUUUUUAUCAAUAAUUUAUUAAUAUUAUUUUUUACUGUAGGAAUUGAACUGAGGGUAAGAAAGUUUACUACUGCAACUAAUACAUACUACUAAACACAAUUAAACUAUAACCAAUUUCUUAAGUUGGUAAUAUUUAUUUCCGCACAUUUUGUUUGUAAGUUUUGAAUGUUUAAAUAUGAAAAAUAGAAAAAAAAAUCAUCUUAAUUCAAGUUUUACAUGAAUUAAUGAGGAUGCUAAUUAAAAAAUGAAAAUAACUAUUAUUUUUAAACAUAUUUUUUUGUUCUAUACACAUGGAGUUAUUAACUUCAUAUUCAAAGAAUAAAGUCAUUGCUUAUUAUAUCAUGUCAUAUACAAUGAUAUCUUUAAUAGUAACUUUAUUUUUUUCAAAAUGACUAAAAUAAUUGCUGUAAUUUUUUUAUACAUGACAUAGCAAAAAAAGGUUUUGGUUAACCAUUGAUCACGCUUAUUAGUUUGAAAACGCCAAUAAAGGUAAAUAUUAAAAGAGCACAGUCAAUAAAAAAAAAGGAAAAAAUUAUUUUUUUAUAAUACUAGUGGUAAAAAAUAAUACAAAAUAAAAAAAUAUUAUAAAUCAAAUGUGAUUAUUUUACCUUGAAAAGAAAUGAAAAUUACUUUUCAGGUUGACUUUUUAUUGGUUUCUACAGUUAAAAUGAUAUCAAUGAAAAUGACAAAUUUCUUAUACUCUUGAUACAUCGAAACCCUAAAUUAUAAAUAUCACUAACUAAUAAAAAAUGGAAGAUCACUCAUUCCUUAAAAAAAUGUUGACAAAAAAUAAAAAGGCUUGAAAAAAAGAAUAUUAACACUUAUCAAAGUAUCAAGUAACCAUUACUUUUUGAAAUUGGUUCAUCUUUCUCCUUUUCCUAUUAUUAUUAGAAAAAUAAUAUGUUUGUAAUAAUUAUUGUAAAUCUUCACAUUUUAAAAUGUUACUAUUAAAAAAAUGAUAUAAUAUCACAAAUAAUUUUUUAUUAAAUAUUUGUGUAAAAGUGUUCCAUGAUGGGUAAUAAUAUACAUGAGUUAAACUUUUACAUAAUUAAUUAAAAUAAAAAUGAUCUAUAUUUAUGAAACUUAUAUUAUUAUUAUUAUUAUUUGUUAUUUGGUUCCAGUGUCUGAACGGUGGGAUAAUUACUAUAUGUAGAUAUCGAUGCAAUGAAAUUGGUAUUUCUCCGUUUAGGCACAGCCAGUGCUACGGUCGUUACAGUUGGAGAAGAAGGCAAAUCUCAGCAACUCGCCGGAAAUCAAAAUAAGAACACUUUUCAAUUCACUUUUUGGCCUUCCUUUGGUACUUCCAAUUCUGCCAAUUCACGCACAAACGCGCUGUAAUCCAAUUCCCUCUUCCCUCGCAAUUCCUCAAUUCCACGAAACAAAUCCCUAGCCCACCACUACAGGGCGUGCGAUCUACUCUGCGGUCGAAGACGAAGGAAGUGCAAUGGCGGCUCCUAACAUGGAUCAGUUCGAAACGUAUUUCAGGAGAGCAGAUUUGGACGGAGAUGGCAGAAUCAGUGGAGCUGAAGCCGUCUCUUUCUUCCUGGGAUCCAAUUUGCCCAAACAAGUUCUCGCCCAGGUUUUAUUCUAUUUCAAAUUUCCAAUCUAAAGUAAACGUGUCAAUUCACUAACUUAAAUUGAUUGUUUCGUUAUGUGUUUACUCUUGGAGGCAUUGGAUUUUCAGCAUCGAUGGUUAUGCUUUCGAUAUUGUUCGCUUAGAAUAUCUUAUUUAGGCCUCUCUUCUAUGCUUUUCCUUGAAAAUGUUAACCGAUCUAGAUUAUUCUUGUGUAAUGUUUCGUGUCCUCGGUGUGAGUUGCAGGUAUGGGCGUAUGCUGAUCAGGCCAAAACUGGUUUCCUUGGGCGCGCAGAGUUUUUUAAUGCUCUGAGGUUAGUUACUGUGGCUCAGAGUAGGCGAGAUUUAACGCCUGACAUUGUGAAGGCAGCGUUAUAUGGUCCUGCUGCUGCUAAAAUCCCCGCGCCGCAGAUUAAUCUUGCUGCCGUAUCUCAACCUGUCCCGAGGCCCUCUGCUGGAUCUGUUGGACAGAUGGGUGUUACUGGACCCAAUUCAGCUCAAGGUUUUGCCUAUAGAGGACAAGGGUUAGCAGGUCCUGGUGCAAGCCCGCAAUAUUAUCCUCCACAGCAGAAUCCUGCCAUCAGACCUCAUCAAUCAAUGCCUGUUACCGGUGCUGCGCGUCCGCAACAGGGUGUUGCAGGCCCUGAUAUUUCUAGAGGAGUUAACAUGGGUGGUCACAAUUUCUCAAAUCCUGGGCUAUCAAAUGAUUGGAAUAAUGCUAGGCCUGGUAUGGUGGCUACCAGACCUCCAGGAAUGAACCCGUCAGCUGCCUUCCAGACGUCACAGUCUCCAAUUUCACCAAUGCCCCAGUCAUCUCCAAUUUCACCAAUGCCCCAGUCAUCCCCAAUUUCACCAAUGCACCAGUCAUCUCCACUUUCAUCAAUGCCCCAAUCAUCUCCACUUUCACCAAUGCCCCAGUCAUCUCCGGUCUCAUCAAUACCCCAGUCAUCUCCGGUCUCAUCAAUGCCCCAGUCAACAGCUGUUAACGCUAAAUCAUUGGGUGUUUCUGGAAAUGGGUUCUCUUCCAAUUCAGUUUUGGGCAAUGAUUUCUUCUCUGCUGCCUCAUCAAUAUCGAAACAAGAACCUGCUGGACACAGUUAUUCUGUUACCAAUGUCUCAUCAGCCAUUGUUCCUGUUUCCACUGGUCCCCAACCUGUAAAGAAGCAAAAUUCACUUGACUCAUUGCAGAGUGCAUUCUCAUCAGUGCUGCCUGCAAAUAGUCCGUUUCAUCGGCCACAGUCUGUAUCAAACCAGCAAAUUUCACCACAAGCUUCUUCUUCUCCACAUACACCAUCUGGGAUGACAGGUGGGGUUGGAAAUGCAAAUUCUGACAAUGUGCAGCUUUCUUGGCCAAAAAUGAAGCCUACUGAUGUGCAGAAGUAUACAAAGGUGUUUUUGGAAGUUGACACUGACAGGGAUGGGAAGAUCACUGGGGAGCAGGCUCGCAGCCUUUUUUUAAGCUGGAGAUUACCAAUAGGUAAGCCUGUUUCCUACUAACUGACCCUUUUUGAUGUAUUUUUCAUGCAAGUUGGUUCGUUGAUGUGUUGGCUUGUCAUAAACAUAACAAGAACCAUAGUCACUUGAAAAUUUUAGUUUUAGCUUCUUGAAUUCAGAUUUCUUUUCUGGAUGGGAAGGGUGUACCUUAAUGGCUUUUUUGGUUGACAUGGAACAACCUCUGUGCACUGAUACUGGAUUUUUAUUGUUUUUUACUGAGCAAACUUAUGACUAACGAUGCUUUAUGGUGUUAAUUGGUGGGUGAUGAAUUGUUACAAGAGUUUAUCUCUUGCCUAAGAUGAUUUGGCCAUGCGAUGAUAAGACUCAUAGAAGUCUCAGUAAGAAGAGUUUAUUAGAUGGAGGAUAGCAAAGUAAAUAGAAGUAGAGGAAUAAUAAGGAAAGUUGUAAAAAAAUGCAUUGAAAAGUACCCAGAUUUAAAUUGGGUUUUGACAAAAUAUAGUCUCAUUGUUUGGUCCAUAUUGCUGAACCCACUUAGUGAGAAAAUGCUCUUGUUUUUAUUGUUAUUUGUUAUCAUUCUCUAAAUUUACCUGCGGAAAAUUCAUUGAUCAUGGAUCAUUCAAGUCAGAUUUUUGUUGUAUCUAUCUGAAUUUUGUUUGUCAACCAAAUGUUUGUAUGAGGAUACAUGAGUGAGGGAGCAAUGGGUAAAAAUGCUCUUCGAGUAAUAAAUCUUUUAUCACUAUUGAUUAAAUGCUUAAGAGAGUUCUUCUUGACCAAACAAAGUGUAAUAUUAAUGAAACAGCUAACUACUAUGACUGUUAUUUCUUAUACAGGAAAUGCAAUUUUUUAUCUCCCCAAAAUAUCUGAAAUUACUGUAAUAUGGUUAACAAGUACUUCCUAAGUGGGGGUAUUUUAAAGCUUUUUGGAAUCAACUAAAUGAACAAUUUCACUAGAAAGGAAUAAAGACAGUAGGUUAAGUAUUAUUUCUUAAACAAACUUACCAAGGAAACUAGUAUCCCAUUGAAAAUUUGAAAAAGCCACUAACAUAUGCUACACCCAUUAAAAUAGAGGAGCUUUUCAACACCAUAUUGUCUUCUGUUAUUAUUGUCAUUAUUUUCGGAUCAAAAACAGUAUUUAUUGUUAGAAAGAUUGGCCGCGUAAUCACCGUAGGGAGGACAUAAACAUAAUACAAUCUCAUUACAUAUGUAAGGCAAAGAGGACGUCCUUGGAAACAUCAGUGGUCUUCACCGACCAUACUGGACAAUUGUAUUAACCACAUGUUGCCUUAAAGUUGUAGUAUCCUUUUUUUCCAUCCCAAACCUUUAAAUAAGCAAUGGAAUAUCAAGUGGAAAUGUGGAUUGUUCUUUUGCAACUGUCUGCAAAUAACAAUGACAUAAAUAGAAAGAGCAGGGCGAGGUCUAGAAAUCUGUAACACUUAAUUUGUAUUAAUCCUGUAAAGUACUGUUGUGCAGAUUAAAAGGGUUAGGGUUUAGGAGAAUAAAUUAGAAGCUGAAAAAGAAUUUAUUAGAAAGCAGUUCUGUUGAAUUUAUAGUUGAAGUUCUUGUAUAUUAGUCGCAGUGAGUAGAAACAAGUGAAAGGGACUCUAAUUCAAUUAGAUUUCUAUUAAUGUGAAUGGUUCAAGAGAUAUGAAUAAUUAAUUUGUUGGUGGGAAAAUUAUGCAUACAAGAGCAACAUCUAAGCAAGGGAAAGCCUCUAAGAAACAAAUAUUCCCACCAUAGUAUUGUCCUGAAACCUGAUGCAAUAACUAUCACUCAAAUCCAAAGAAACAAGUAGUCAAAACACACAUCUCUCUGUAAUAACAUUACAUGGAUAUGCAUGAGUUUAAAUGAUCACAGGUUGGCAGCCCUCCACCCAUUUUAAUCCAAAUCAUACAUACUAUGAAUUAUUUGGUAUCGUAAUGGAUCAUUUAAAAGAAAAAAAAGGUGACAAAGAUAUUGAUAAUUUGAGAAGAGAUGUAUAGUAGGUUACAGUUAUUAGAUCUAAUUCUACACACAUUUAUAAAUGUAUUUGGUUAUGGAACCUAGAAUCCCUAUCAAUUCCAAACCAUCAUGUUUGACCUCAGAAUCAUAAUAAUUCAAAUUCUUUGAGGAGAAUAACUAUAAAUACUGAUAGCUUGAGUUUCAGCUGGAUUCUGUGAUAGAUGACAGUCAUUUGAUUUAGACCUGAGAAAUAGAUCAACUCAACACUUUGAAAUCUACCGGGCUAUGAACCACAAGAACUUUAUGAAUUAGUUGACAAAUAAGUAUUUCAUGUAGGAUGAAUGAGAGUUGGAAUUGGUUAAUUCUAUUGGUUCAUACCUAAUGUAUUCCUAAAUGCAGAGUUGAUCCUAGGUCUAGUCAUUUUCCCUCAAUUCUCAAAUGAUAUAAUACAAGAUAAAAUACCUCUUCCUUUACAUCUGCCUCCUACUUAUUUAUUCCUCAAAUGCCAUUUAAUUGACUAAUCCUUUUACUAACUACAAUAACUAUCCUAACUAAUAAUGGCUAAGAAUAUUACCCUCUUGAAAUCUUGUUGGCUAUGUUGGAAAUUGUUACUAAAAGUUGAAUAUCACCCUCCUAUUUAUUUAUUUACCUCUCAAAUUUCUUCCUACUAACUAAAAUAACUGUCCUAACUAACUUCCUUACUCGAUCAGACAACCAUUUUUUUUGGUAAGCAUGCUUAUUGUCCUAUUUAUUCAAUUCAAUUCUCAAAUGCUACUAAGCAAGCUACACUGGCAAGAUGAUCUUAUUAGAUUUGUUUCUUUACUCUGUUUUUUGGACUGUUUUUUAGCUUCAUUAUUUUUGAAAUUUUCUUGGAGAGGGGAUGACCCUUUUAGCAUUUCUCCGAAGGCAAUAAUGUAAUCCGUGGACUUUGUGCAGAGGUGUUAAAGAAGGUGUGGGACUUGUCUGAUCAGGACAAUGAUAGCAUGCUUUCUUUGAAGGAGUUUUGCUUUGCUCUUUAUUUGAUGGAACGGUACAGGGAAGGUCGACCUCUUCCACAGUCUCUUCCAAGCAAUGUUAUGUUUGAUGAGACACUGAUGUCUAUGACAGGCCAACCAAAAAUUGUUCCUGGAAAUGCAACCUGGGGAACCGGCCAAGGUAUUUUCUCUUAUUUACUCUACAAUUUUCUUUUCUUUUUCUCUUAUAAGACACCUUUUGAUGAUUUUUUUUACUUUUAUCCAUCUCAAGGUUUUCAGCAACAACAGGGGAUGCCAGGUGCUCGGCCAGUGGCACCAACAGCUGGUUUGAGGCCUCCAGUCCAUGGAAGUUCUGCUCAGGCUGAUUUCACUACACAGCCCAACCAGCAAAAGUCAGGAACACCUGUGUUGGAGGAUUCCUUUCUGAAUCGCACUGAUAAUGGUGAGCAGAAUAUAUUGAAUACAAAGCCUCAAGAUGCAACAACUGCAGAGAAGAAGGUAUUGGCUCUGCCUUUGUAAUUUUUCUCCAUAUAUAAACAUAUAUUUAUGAAAGUGAAGAUUAUCCAUAAUGUUUUUCGUACAUGCUUGUGUUUUCUGUUUUCAUUAAGGAAGAUGCUUUGUUCUCCUAUUCCUUUGUAGUUCUCAUCCCUUCAUCUUAAUUUAUUUAUGUUUAUUUUGAAGUUCCAUUUUAUAGAAAUUGGAAAAUUAUAAAACUCAUCCUAAAAGCCAGGGAUUCAACUAUAUAUCUACAAGCAAGUGUAAGGUAAAGAGACACCUUUGAAAUUAUGAGGCUUUCCUUUCCCAACCAAAUGCAUCAAAUAAUUGUAUAAAUUGCAGCCUCCUAUAAAACAACUGUUUCCUUGUUUCUGCCAAAAUUUUGUUCCAGUAGAAAGGACACAAAUACAGGUUCACAGUCUCUUAGUGCUUGUUUGGUACUCCCUUCAGAAUUAAUGAUGAUUGUUUGGUGGGUGGACCCAAGUUAGUUUUUGGUCUUAAAUAUAAUUUCACAAGUAAAAUUGAAAUGAAUUAUGGGGCUGAAAGUUACUUUUGUAACCCAAAAUUAACUCCCCAUUUUCUAUAAUAUCCUCAACCAGAUCUAUUCAGUUGUAAAUGAUCUUGGUUCUUUUGCACAUUUUGAGAAAUUCUAAAUAAAAAAUGUUUCUUCCUGCUAUUGUAGUCUGAAGAAGCUCAGAAUGUUAUUUUGGAUUCAAAAGAGAAGAUGGAGCUUUACCGGAACAAAAUGCAGGAACUGGUCUGUAAUUCAUAUCUUGUCUCUUUUUAUUUUGAUCUUAGAUUGAUGUUUUUUUCUUAAGGCUUUGCAUGGUUGAAAUAAACUAUUUGUAGGCUUGCUAGGCCAUACUGCUGGUGGCUCACUUUUGAGUAAACUUGUGUUAGAAUUAAUGGAGUUAUUACAUUACAGAGGUUAAAAUAAAUUUAUUAGCAAUCUUUGAUCAGAAGUUAUGUGAAUAAUUAUUAUAUGUUAGUGUUGCUUGGUUUUUACAGAAAUACCUUCUAAGCUAAAUAGUUCUUUUGUUUAUACUAUUUUAACUUAUAAGCAUAAUACAAGCUAAUUCAAAACACAGUAAGUGUACCAGAGCUGUGCAAUUUAGCUGGGGGUUUGGUUUGCUAUGACAAAUGCCUACCAGUGAUGGAAUUUAGGGUUUUAUGGUUCUAGUUAGGCCUCGGUUGAAGCCUAGGAAUUGAUUUCUGGUUAGGAAGAAGACUGGAACUUUUGAGGGCAAGGAACCACUUUCUUUCAUCCCAAGAAACUCUAACUGGAAUCAUGCACGCAGGGAAAUAGAUGAUUUUCAGUGAAUAAAGUUGAUGAUUUAUUGGGUAAAAGUCAGUACGACUUCCUCUCAAGAAACUAAAGGGAAUCGGUCUUGCAGUGAAUAUUUUUAUUUUAACUGGAUCCAGUUAAGGAUUUUGUUGAAAACCAAUAUGAUUUUUUAAAAUAUUUUUUUUAUUGCAUGAUACGAAUCUGAUUAUGAUUAAAGAACUAUGAAUUAUGCACUUACUCACUCCCCAUUCCUCUUAUGUUUACUUGUAUUUCAGGUUCUAUAUAAAAGCAGAUGUGAUAAUCGAUUAAAUGAGAUAACAGAAAGGGCAUCUGCGGAUAAGCGCGAGGUAUAUUCCUUUCUUGUGAAAACGUGAUGCAUGUUUAUGUGAAAAGAAUUAGCUAUCAUUUGGUGGCGUGUUACAGGCAGAAUCAUUGGGCAAGAAAUAUGAAGAGAAAUACAAACAAGUAGCAGAAAUAGCAUCAAAAUUGACUGUUGAAGAAGCUAAAUUUCGUGAUGUCCAGGUAAUUAGAAAAUCUAAAUUGUUGAAAAAUAGGCUAUUUGUGAAUGGUGAGAGUUAUUGCUUACUUAUUAUGCACUACAUUUUUUAUUGCAUUGAUUGUUCUUAUUAACGAAGGACUAACAACUUUAAAGUUUAAGUUGUUGGGCUAAAACUCAAGAGGGGUUUUAUAUCUAAAAAGCACUACCCUACUUGAAGCAUGCAUGUAGGCCUGACUCAACUUAUUUUUAAGCCUAAAACAAACUUUGAUACGAGGCCUUUCUAAAUUAAUCAUGAUAUGUUUAUUGACAAAAAAUAAUAGUAGUAUUUUAUUAAAAGUUUAUUUUUGAAUUUUUUUCUGGAUAAAAAAUCAUUUUAUUAUUUAUUAUGAUAGAUAAGGGAUGAUAGUUUUUACUUCUAUGAUUUAACAUGAUUGCAUGUAUAAAAUCGGAUUCUAGACAAAAGUUAAAAAUUUAACAUAGGAAAGAAUUUUAAAAUUAAUAAUUUAAUAAGUUUACAUAAACUAAACUAAACAGAUAUAACGUUGACAACAACACCAACCCUAUAGCUUUCUGUUGUAUCCUUAUAGGAUGAAGUUUGUCAUCUUACUGAUUUUUUCUUCUUAAGAAAAAGUUUAGAAGAUUAGAGAUCAUAACACUAUUCUCCAAACAAGAGAUUCACUUUAGAAAGUAAAAUGAAAUUUAUUGUCAUGAAUAAAAGAUUAAACCAUUAAAGUUUAUAUUAGAUAAUUUAUUAUGUAUGUGGAUUCAUUUAUUAUAACAACUACUGUAGAUUCAACACUUUAAGAGGCAGUUUUCUGUUAAAAGUAUUGUUAUUCUUAAUAGAAUUGUAUCAUUUAUAAAGUAACCAUUAUAUUUUUAAAAUAUUAUUUCUAAGUAAAGUUGUUUUUGGGAGGCUUAAAUCAAGGGCUUCAUUGGCCUUGCCCUUGGGCCAACCUGCUUGGGUGACAUGCAACCACUUACACUGGCCUAAAAUUAAACUUUUAUUUAGAAUGAGGUUGAGAAGGAUCAGACUCAUGACCACUUGUCCCGGACCAACUCUCUUAAAAGCUUAAAUUGUAAAGUAAAUGCUCUUGUAUGAUUUGAUAUCUUGAAGAGCUCCUUGUAAUCUUUGUUGGUCUUAGUGGAUCUUCUUUGUUUUGCUUGUCGAGUUUGGAUGCAGGCCUGUUGUUCAUGGCUGGCCAAGUCACUAAAAUUUUGUGACUGUUUCUCUUCUUCCUAUUGUCUGUUUGCUUGUUUAGAGAGUGAAGCUCACCACUUCUUGUGGAGUAUUCAAAUGAAAGUGAAUGUAAGGGAGAGUGGAAACCUGAGGAAGCAUGUAGUCUUCCACGUGUAUUAUAUUUGUAGUGCAAGUCUACAACCCUUUUCUCGUUUUCUUGCAACAAUAAACUUGUGUCUUGGGUGGAUUAUGAAUGUCUUGAAAGUUGAAACAUUUCAAUUUUCAAUGCACCUUUAACCAUUAGUCUGUAUAUAUUUAGGAAAGGAAGGUGGAAUUGCAGCAAGCCAUCGUCAAAAUUGAACAAGGAGGUAGUGCAGAUGGCAUUCUUCAGGUGAAUUUUAUUUCUUGAAUAAAGAUGGGAAGUUCUGGGGAACCUGUCUUGUACUGUUACUGAUAUUUAGCAAAAUCUGCAGGUCCGUGCUGAACGCAUACAGUCAGAUCUGGAGGAGUUAUUUAAGGCUCUAGCUGAUCGGUGCAAGAAACAUGGGAUGGAUGUGAAGUCAAUUGCAAUGGUUCAGCUUCCUUCUGGUAAUUAUAAUCUCAUUUUGUCUCAUCAUGGCUUCUUUCUCAAUCAAUUAUUUAUAUUCUUUGUCAAUUCUCAAAUAAUCAUUCUGCAACAAUUUUAUGAUUUAUUUUGACUUUUUUACUUAACAGAUGUGAUUCUUUAUAUUAAUACUUCUGUGGAAACCUCAUUUUGUGAUCUGUAAACCUGUAUUUUUCCAAGGAUCUUCUUUUAAAACCAAUGGCAUUGCAUAUCAACUCAUUGAUAAAUUACUUAUAUUUGUUACAAGUGAAUGCAUUUUUCUCUGUUUCUAACUUUAAUUGUGGUUGUGUUUGUGUGCGUGUACCAACCUGAUGAAUUAAGGUUGGCAACCUGGAAUUCCAGAGGGAGCUGCUCUUUGGGAUGAAGAUUGGGAUAAAUUUGAGGACGAAGGUUGCCAUAAUCUUUUUUUAUCCUUACGAAAUUAUUUUCAUUUUUUGCAUGAAUUAACUUGUUUCAUUAAUUGCUUUGUUUACUUCUAGGAUUUGGCAAUGAUCUUACUUUUGACACUAAAAAUGCAUCUUCAAAACCAAAGCCAGCAUUUAUUGACGGAGAACAAAAUUUCUCUGAUGAUAAUUCUAUUCAUGGUUCACCUGUGAAUGCAAAUGGGAAGCAAGAAAAUUCUGCUAACGGUGAUUAUACAGUUGAGGAUGAAUCCUAUGCACAUAGUGAAGAAGACUUGGCCAGAAGCCCUCACGAUAGUCUAGCUGGGAGGAGUACCGUGGAGAGUCCUUCUCAAGACUUCUCAAAUCCUCACUUUGGAAAAGGUUCUGAAGCAGAUGCAGAAACACAUAGGUAAUUUCUUUUAUUUUUGUCUCGAGGCUGUGUUUGGGGGAGGGGUUGAUUUGUCAAUUCCCAAUUUUUCUGUUUCUGAAUGCAUGGCUUUGAGUGUGAAGCAUCUAUCUAGUAAUUGUGACGUUAUUAAUCUAUGGCAACAGAAGUUUUGAUGAAUCGACCUGGGGUGCAUUUGACAACAAUGAUGACAUGGACUCAGUGUGGGGUUUUAACUCUAAGACCAAGGUAACCCUUUCUAUUUAUAGCUUUAAAUUCUGAGCUGUUUGGGAUAUUAACAUAAUUAGUUUCCGUUAUUGAGUAAUAAUCGUUCUCGGGGAAAUUCUUUUAAGAUUAUUUUUAUACUAAAUUGAUGCAUGAGAUAGGCAAUGGAGGUCUUCUUUCAUUAUAAUUUUUGGAAUGGAUUUCUUAGCACAUUUACCAAAGAACGGAUGAAGGGACGUCAUUUUUCAAAGAUCAAGUCGCGUUGGUGUAAAGCUACUACCUGCUAAAAUUUUAUGUUUGGCUUUGUAGGACUCUGACUUCGAGCAGGGAGAUUUCUUUAAAUCUGAUGAUUUUGGUAUAAACCCAGUUAGAAUAGGAUCUACACAUACGGAUGGCGCGUUCCAGACAAAAAGCCUAUUUACUUUUGAUGAUUCGGUGCCUGCAACUCCAGUUUCCAAGUUCGAAAACUCUCCCAGGUACAGUGAGGCGGGGGAUCAUUUCUUUGACAUGUCAAGGUUUGAUUCCUUCAGGCACGAAAGUGGAUAUUCUCCACAACCAGAGAGGCUUACGAGAUUUGAUUCCAUAAGUAGCAGUAAGGAUUUUGGCUAUGGUAAUGAAAAGUUCACAAGGUUUGAUUCCAUAAGUAGCAGCAAAGAUUUUGGCAACAGUAAUGAUAAGUUCACAAGGUUUGACUCCGUGAGUAGCAGCAAGGAUUUUGGCUACAAUCCUGAGAAGCUCACAAGGUUUGAUUCCAUGAGUAGCAGCAAUGAUUUCGGUUUCGGUCGUCAGGGCCAUGCAAGGUUUGACUCAAUUAGUAGCACCAAAGACUUCGGUCACAGUGGUCCAUUCUCUUUCGAUGACUCUGAUCCAUUCGGCUCCUCUGGGCCUUUUAAGGUCUCUUCAGAAAAUCAUUCUCCGAAAAAGGGUUCAGAUAACUGGAGUGCAUUCUAGCCUGCAAUCCAACUCUUCCAGGGUUUUCUUUGUUUCCAUUUCCUUGAUUGUUCAUGAUAGCCUAUUUUUUUUGUGUAUAGCUAGAAGAAAAGCUGGAUGGUAAUUUUAUAUGGUGUGAUCAAUGUAUCAGUUUGAAGAGAGUUUUUCCUUUAUUCUUUUGGUAAAUGCGCGGACGUGUUGUGAAAGAUAGAUAGAUAAAAUCAAAUGUCUUGUUCGUAUCAUGGAUGUACUAUUGAGUUUAAUGGCAAGUGCAUGCAAAGUUUUUGUUUUCUUGGUUUCAUUACAUGCAUUUACAUAUGUGCUGCAUUCCCAUGGCUUUUUUCAAUGCUUGCCAUUUAACUAUCAUCACAGACAAAAUAAACUAACACCAAAGCACAUUGCUCACUCUAUUUUUCCUGCAUGUCUGCAGUAAAAUAUUAGUCUUGGUUGCCGUUCUAAGCAUUUAGUAUGGUUGGAUACCAAAAUCUUUGGAACGCUGGAUCCCCAUUAAGACUAUCCACAUGCAAAU
rnacentral:lncRNA from 1 species